CGGAGAGUGGUGUAAUGGUAGCACGCAUGCUUUGGGAGCAUGUAGUUCGGGUUCGAAUCCCGGCUCUCCGA
rnacentral:tRNA from 1 species